ACUUAAGUAGUUUAAAUAAAAAUAUAGUAUUGUGGCUACUAAGACGUGGUGUAUGUCCUUAGGUU
rnacentral:tRNA from 1 species